rnacentral:rRNA from 1 species
GAUGAACGCUGGCGGCGUGCCUAAUACAUGCAAGUCGAGCGAACGGACGAGAAGCUUACUUCUCUGAUGUUAGCGGCGGACGGGUGAGUAACACGUGGAUAACCUACCUAUAAGACUGGGAUAACUUCGGGAAACCGGAGCUAAUACCGGAUAAUAUUUUGAACCGCAUGGUUCAAAAGUGAAAGACGGUCUUGCUGUCACUUAUAGGUGGAUCCGCGCUGCAUUAGCUAGUUGGUAAGGUAACGGCUUACCAAGGCAACGAUGCAUAGCCGACCUGAGAGGGUGAUCGGCCACACUGGAACUGAGACACGGUCCAGACUCCUACGGGAGGCAGCAGUAGGGAAUCUUCCGCAAUGGGCGAAAGCCUGACGGAGCAACGCCGCGUGAGUGAUGAAGGUCUUCGGAUCGUAAAACUCUGUUAUUAGGGAAGAACAUAUGUGUAAGUAACUGUGCACAUCUUGACGGUACCUAAUCAGAAAGCCACGGCUAACUACGUG